AAGGCUGCUGUGAUGAGUGCAUAGUUCAGCAGAUGACCUGUGACGAUCAGUUACUGUCUUUCGCCAAUCUCUGAUGCAGCCUC
ensembl:snoRNA